UACGGAGGGUGCGAGCGUUGUUCGGAAUCACUGGGCGUAAAGGGCGUGUAGGCGGUCCGUUAAGUCUGAUGUGAAAGCCCGGGGCUCACCCCCGGAAGUGCAUUGGAAACUGACGGACUCGAGUCCCGGAGAGGAGAGUGGAAUUCCUGGUGUAGCGGUGAAAUGCGUAGAUAUCAGGAGGAACACCGGUGGCGAAGGCGGCUCUCUGGACGGUGACUGACGCUGAGACGCGAAAGCGUGGGGAGCAAACAGG
rnacentral:rRNA from 1 species